rnacentral:rRNA from 1 species
GACGAACGCUGGCGGCGUGCCUAAUACAUGCAAGUCGAACGAGAGCAACCGGUGCUUGCACUGGUCAAUCUAGUGGCGAACGGGUGAGUAACACGUGGGUAACCUGCCCAUCAGAGGGGGAUAAAAUCCGGAAACGGAUGCUAAAACCGCAUAGGUCUUCGAACCGCAUGGUUUGAAGAGGAAAAGAGGCGCAAGCUUCUGCUGAUGGAUGGACCCGCGGUGCAUUAGCUAGUUGGUGAGGUAACGGCUCACCAAGGCCGUGAUGCAUAGCCGACCUGAGAGGGUGAUCGGCCACAUUGGGACUGAGACACGGCCCAAACUCCUACGGGAGGCAGCAGUAGGGAAUCUUCCGCAAUGGACGCAAGUCUGACGGAGCAACGCCGCGUGAGUGAAGAAGGUUUUCGGAUCGUAAAACUCUGUUGUUAGAGAAGAACAAGUGCUAGAGUAACUGUUAGCGCCUUGACGGUAUCUAACCAGAAAGCCACGGCUAACUACGUG